UGAAAGGUUGCAACAGACAUCUGGUGGUAUCCAACAUUGCUCUUGAGACAUCUACCACAAGCAUAAUUUGAUCAUUGUUUGGGACAUAAGUUUGAUUUAUUUUAUGAUACAAACUCCUGCACAAUUUCUACACAUACUAUGCUAGUUUUUUUUUCUUUUUAUGAUUAUUCCAGUACCCUCUAAACACACAAACAAUUAUGAUUUUUUUUAAACCAACCAAUAAGAAACAUAAAAGGAAAAAUGGCAAUGCAUGUUUGCUACAUUCUGAAAACCUUGCAUACAAUUGUGAGACAAGAGGUACCUCACCAUCAUGUUUGUUUUAUUAUUGUUUUCUUUCAGUCUUCCUUAACAUAAUUUGGCAUCCCUUAACCCUUCUCCUGUUAGCCCACCGCUAUGGUGUCAUUUUGGUGUAUGCCACCUCCUUCCAACCUCACAUUUAGUUAUUCUUUGUAUCUCAUUACUUCUAUCUUAAAAAUAGCUUACAUCCAUCAAUGAACAUCCAACAUCCAACCCUCUGCAAUGUAUCGUGAAUUUUGCAGCUAGAUUUGUCUUCACUUUUACCCUAUAGCAGUUCACUGAUUGGCUGAGAGUGUCAGCUGCCCGUUCUCAGCCAAUCAGAAGCACCCCUGCCUGGCGGCACUCUUUACUUCCCGAAACUGAAAUUUCGGAAGCCAGAUGCUACCUGGGGGGACUUGAGAUCAGCACUGGAGGCAACUUUGAGGUUAAACUUUGUGAGAAUGGUUUAACUCUGUCAGGUAAGCCUUCCUGGCACCAUAACAACUUUAUU